CAAAGUUUCAGUGCAUUCCGUUGAUGUAGACGGCGUGAAAACGUAAACAACAAGUAUGCCGGCUCACUGUGCUGCAUACAAUUGCACACUGCGUCGUACGAUUGAGACAAGGAAACUUGGAAUGACUUUUCAUAGGUUUCCCAGAGACUAUGGGUUGAGGAGGAAUUGGAAGUUUGUCGGCUUAGACCUGGUGUCAUUCCAUCAGUGUUAAACUUCCCGGCUCAUCUUGGAAGAGUACGUGCCAGAAAGACCACGACCAAGCAGCCUUGAGAUCUUAGGCAGCGUCUCCCUCAGACCAAAGAACUACAGACUCUUCACAACCUGCUCAAACUCUUGGUACAGGACCUCACCACACGGGUCAAGAAGGUUUCCGUCUCAUUUCUACUCUGAAGCUCACCUUCUCCUGCUCAAACUGCUGACAAAUGUUUCUGCUGCUCUAAAGUCUGGUCUCCAGAACUUCCUAAAAACUUUCAAAGUCUCUUCUGCUGCAGGUUGCUUUGUAGAACUGUUCCAGAAAACCUCACUAAACCACAUGGAGGAGCCUCAAGAUAGUCGUCCAAAUGAAACCGUACAAAAACCAAACUAGUACAACCCAAAUGCUAAAGUCUACUGCAGCCUACCAGAGAACCUCUGAGAACAGAGAAUCAGGACAGGAACUCUUACUUUCUGGACAACCAAUGUUGGUUCUCAAACAAGAAUACAGAAUGUGUCUGACCAAAAACCUCUAAAGACUCACUACAGCCAAGAUAAAGACAUAACUCAGCUGAACCAAAUCCACUAAUCACUGCACACAUUAGUACCAUGUGCUAACUGUGGCUAAAGAACCACCUUUACCAAGACAACUAUCCGGUACAAAGCCCUAAAACACACCAAGAAACACAUUAAAGACAAUUUUACUGCUGGAAGCUGCAAGCCAACGCCUAAAGAACAAACUAAGGCAACAGAGCCAAACCCAGUUCUGUGGUGAAGAGAAGCAGAGGAAAUGUUUGUCUGCAGCUAAACAAAGCAGGAAGACACUGAGCUGCUCAGGUGUUCCUGAUAACACCAAGCUGCUCAGGUGUUCCUGAUAACACCAAGCAGCCACCUGGACAGCCAAUAGGAACACAGCUUCCUGGAAGUCCAGAGGGCUGGGCUAGUGAAGGAAAUUUAAUUUAAAGUUGAAGCAGAAAGUUAACAAAGAAAGUUGAAAACCACCUUCUGAUACCUGAAAUCUCUGAGUUUUCACACAAAGAACACCUGAACAUGUCAAACUGGUUCCAUAGUAGAAUCAUCAUUGUAAAAAUGUCAUAGUAUGGUGUGUUGCUCAAAAAACAUUAGGACCCGGCUGUCAGGGGACAAACAUGUAAGAAACAUGAGAACAGAGAGAACCCAACCAGUAGGUCACAGUUUAUCAUCCCCCAGUUAUCUCCUGAAGUCCAUAUGGUGAGAGACAUCAGUAUCUGGUUGUUCAUUUACCAGAGGAUGCUUAUAAUCAUGCUGAUGUGGUCUGUACUCUACAGUAUUUUAGUGACAAUAAAUGCCUAAGUUGUUUUUUUUUUUAAUGCUUUUUAGUUUUUAAUAAACAUUUAAGAGCCUAUAUGUAAUCAAUAAAUGGCCUUUGCCUAUCUUAAGAAAAAUUCACUCAGAACUCUGAUAUGUUAACAGUAUUAAAUAAAUCAAUAAAUACAUGCAUACACACAAAAAUAAGUUAAUACAUUAACUGUGUUAAGAUAAGAUUUAGAUUUUUACAAAAAAGUUGUUUAUGUUUUUGCAGAAUCCAGUAUUGCUCAUUGGUUGGUCAUUACAUUUUGUUAGUUUGAUUUCACUGUUUAAAAUGAUGCCACCUCUUUUCAGACAGAACCUGUGAUCAUAAAACAAUACAAAAUUUUUAGUUCCGUGUUAAUAAAGCACUUAAAGCUUUAAAUAUGGCUAAAUGCUUUUUUCAAAAUUAAAUAUAUCACUCCUUAGGUGGUAGUGGCCCCAAGUUCAGUAAAGUUGGAAAGAUAUUCACAGAUUCAGACUUCCAGCAUCAAUAACUCAUUAGAUAUAGGUUGUCAAAACAUAAACGGUGCCUCUUUCCCAUUGUUGCAAGGCAGACAAUGUGCUACAAGCCCAGUUUUAUCAAAAGUAGCUGUCUUUCAAGCUACAGGAAUAACAUUGGUGUCUAUGGAGUGAACAGGGUCCGUCUGCAAUUUGCAAAACCGCUGCAACAGUAAAGAGAGACAAAUAUUCAAUAACUUCACUCUUAUACAUUGUAGUGUCACUAAAAUCACUGCAGCCUUCAACUGGCUCCUGUUGACAAAGUGUUUUAACAGAAAUGUAAAUGCUGUAAUUUGAUUCUUUUAAUGAACCAUGUAACUUGAAUGGAUGUGAUGCUGGUGUGACCACAGUGCACACGUCUGAUGUUGCUCACAGUGGUCCAAGGGACGCUCAGGGAGUUUGUGUGUUUGCUCAGACUCAGGAAAAAUUACAGGGAACAU